AGCGGGCCGGAUGGUCGCGCUCCCGGAGCUAGCGCUUUGGGGGUGAGGAAAGUCCGAACACCACAGGGCAGGAUGCUGGGUAACGCCCAGGCGGGGAAACCCGACGGAAAGUGCAACAGAGAGCAGACCGCCAGCGGACGGGCUUCGGCUCGUAGCGGGCAAGGGUGAAACGGUGGGGUAAGAGCCCACCGCGGUCUCGGCGACGAGGCCGGCACGGUAAACCCCAUCCGGUGCAAGGCCGAAUAGGAACGGAGAGGUGGCUCCGCCUCGUCCAACGAGCUCAAGGGCUCGCACGUUCGGGUUGGCUGCAGGAGGUAUCGGGUAACCGAUGUCCCAGAUAAAUGACCAUCCGUCAGACCCUUCGGGUUUGGCGACAGAACUCGGCUUACAGGCCCGCG
rnacentral:RNase_P_RNA from 1 species